GGGAUCAUCAUGAGGGUGAUGAAGAUCUAGAUAGAUUGGUGCACAAAUCACUUUCUUUGGGAUAGAUGGGUCUCUAAUCUACUGUGUAGAGAUAUAAGGUGACAAGUGCGACUGGUUGUUAGAGAACAACUAGCACUAAGCGUGACCAUAUAAGAGAUCACUUGGAUUUCUAUUCAAUCAUCAGUGAUUGUCUCGAUGCUGUAGUUGUG
rnacentral:lncRNA from 1 species